rnacentral:rRNA from 1 species
UACGUAGGGUGCAAGCGUUAUCCGGAAUCACUGGGCGUAAAGCGUGCGUAGGUGGAUGUUUAAGUGUGAUGUUAAAUCGUGGGGCUCAACCCUGUCGAUGCAUCGCAUACUGGACGUCUAGAGGACAGCAGAGGCAAGUGGAAUUGGUAGUGUAGCAGUGAAAUGCGUAGAUAUUACCAGGAACACCAAUGGCGAAGGCAGCUUGCUGGGCUACUCCUGACACUGAGGUACGAAAGCGUGGGUAGCAAACAGG